rnacentral:rRNA from 1 species
AACGCUGGCGGCAGGCCUAACACAUGCAAGUCGAGCGGUAACAGAGAGUAGCUUGCUACUUUGCUGACGAGCGGCGGACGGGUGAGUAAUGCCUAGGAAUCUGCCUAGUAGUGGGGGAUAACGUUCGGAAACGAACGCUAAUACCGCAUACGUCCUACGGGAGAAAGUGGGGGACCUUCGGGCCUCACGCUAUUAGAUGAGCCUAGGUCGGAUUAGCUAGUUGGUGAGGUAAUGGCUCACCAAGGCGACGAUCCGUAACUGGUCUGAGAGGAUGAUCAGUCACACUGGAACUGAGACACGGUCCAGACUCCUACGGGAGGCAGCAGUGGGGAAUAUUGGACAAUGGGCGAAAGCCUGAUCCAGCCAUGCCGCGUGUGUGAAGAAGGUCUUCGGAUUGUAAAGCACUUUAAGUUGGGAGGAAGGGCAGUAAAUUAAUACUUUGCUGUUUUGACGUUACCGACAGAAUAAGCACCGGCUAACUCUGUGCCAGCAGCCGCGGUAAUACAGAGGGUGCAAGCGUUAAUCGGAAUUACUGGGCGUAAAGCGCGCGUAGGCGGUUUGUU